UGGCUCAGGACGAACGCUGGCGGCGUGCUUAACACAUGCAAGUCGAACGAUGAACCACUUCGGUGGGGAUUAGUGGCGAACGGGUGAGUAACACGUGGGCAAUCUGCCCUGCACUCUGGGACAAGCCCUGGAAACGGGGUCUAAUACCGGAUAAUACUGCGGGCCUCAUGGUCUGUGGUUAAAAGCUCCGGCGGUGCAGGAUGAGCCCGCGGCCUAUCAGCUUGUUGGUGAGGUAAUGGCUCACCAAGGCGACGACGGGUAGCCGGCCUGAGAGGGCGACCGGCCACACUGGGACUGAGACACGGCCCAGACUCCUACGGGAGGCAGCAGUGGGGAAUAUUGCACAAUGGGCGAAAGCCUGAUGCAGCGACGCCGCGUGAGGGAUGACGGCCUUCGGGUUGUAAACCUCUUUCAGCAGGGAAGAAGCGA
rnacentral:rRNA from 1 species